CAUAUAAAGUCAUGUAAUUAUCUCUGUAUGUUUAAUUAAUAAAUAUCGUCUUACUGAGGCUUAUCCAUUAGUAAAGUACGAAACAUGGUGUCAGGUGUGUAAAAUAGGCAUAGGGAAACGAGAAAAAGAAAAAGAGAAAGCUGAAACACAAAAAGUUCCACUCUAGUCUCGCUAGAUAGCCCCCUAGAAAGAAGACUAUACAAAGUAAGAUGGAAUAUAAAGCACCAGAGCAGUUUUGUGUUGCAGAUUUUGUAGCAUGGCCAAAAUGGAAACAAAAAUUCAAUAUAUUUUUAUUAGCAUCAGGAAAAAAUAAAGAGGAAGAAGAUGUUAAAAUAGCGGUAUUUUAACACUUUUCCAACAGAAAAGGUAAAAACUAUUGAAGAUGUUCUAAAAUGUUUUGAUGAAUAUUUUUUACCAAAGAAAAAUGUUACUAUGGAAACAUUUAACUUUAAUAACAUUUGUCAAAAAGAAAAUCAAAGUAUUGAUUCUUUUAUAACUGAAUUAAAAAGACAAGCAGCAAACUGUGAAUUUAUUUGUUCAAAUGGUACUUGUAGAAAAUCGUAUGAAGAAUAAAUGUUAAAAGAUAGAGUAAUUUUAGGACUUAGCAAUAAACAGAUACAACAAAGGUUGAUUAGAGAAAAUGAAAUGUCAUUAACAAAAAUUCAAGAAUAUUGUAAAUCUAUAGAAUUAUCACAGCAACAUAUUAAAUUGUUGAGCCCAAAUGAAGAAAACAUUAAUGCCGUAGAAAUUACUUUUAAAUGUAGAAGAUGUGGUUAUAAACAUACUAAAGGAAGAUGCCCAGCAUUUCAUAAAACCUGUGUAGUUUGUAACAAGGGUCAUUUUGCAAAAAUGUGCAAAUCAAAAGUUGAAGAUACAAUUCCAAUUCAAUCUAAGAAAAAUGAAGUUGAAGAGAGUGAACGACAAGAAGAUAGAAAUAUAAAAAACAAGAUUGAAGUAAAAAAUGAUCAAGUAAAAAUAAAUAAUUUAGUUGAACCUGUACAAGGUAUUGAUAACAUUUUAUUUAUGAACAGAAAGACAGUAAUAUUAAUUCAAGUUGGUAUCAAAAAAUUAAUAUAUGUAAUAAAAUUAUUAAUUUUAAACUUGAUACUGGGGCUGAAUCAAGUAUUUUGCCAGUAAAAUAUUUACAUAUGUUAAAUAUAGAUAAAAGCAGUAUUGCACCAUCAACAUGUAUAAUAUUAUCAUAUGGAAAUUUUAAAUCUAAAACCAUAGGAAAAAAUACUUUAAAUUGUAAUUAUAAAGAUAUAUCUAGUAAGAUUUCAUUCUUACUAGUAGAUUUUGAAUCAGAAUCAAUUUUAGGUUUAAUUGAUUGUAUAAAAUUAAAAUUAAUUUGUCGUUUAGAUACUAUUGAUGAAAAUUUUGAAACUUGUUUAUCAAAAGACAAAAAUGAUAUUUAUAAAAAUUAUAAUGAAAUUUUUAAUGGACUAGGAUCAAUGCCUGGAUAUGUGGAUAUUAAAUUAAAACCUAAUGCUAUACCAAGAACAUUAUCCAAUACCGAAAUGUGAGGACAUUUUUAGUAAACUUGAAGGCAAGACCAUUUUCUCCGUCAUUGACAUGAAGGAUGGGUUUUGGCAGAUUCAGUUAACUGAAGAAAGUUCCAAACUGUGUACCUUCAAUACGCCAUUUGGUAGAUAUAAGUUUAACAGAGUACCCUUUGGUUUAAAUUCUAUUCCUGAAAUAUUUCAAAGAAAAAGUAUAGAAAUUUUUGGAGAUAUACCUAACGUAAAUAUAUAUUUUGAUGAUUUAAUUGUUAGUGGAAUUAACGAAUAUGAACAUGAUAGAGCUUUUAAAAUGGUAUUAAAUAGAGCAUUAAAAUAUAAUGUUAAAUUUA